CCCUCCUCCCGCCCCGGCGCGAGACGGCUCCUCGUGGAUGCGAUGCGGUGCGACUCCGUCUCGUCUGGUCCGUCCCGCGCGUCUUGGGCUAGGGUUCCGGGCGGGAUCCGCACUUGAUGAUUUCUUGCCAUAGGAUUUACUGCUAGUAGUAAUGAAUGAAUUGAUGAAUGAGUCUUGCUGACUGUGAAGCGCUUGCUCGCUCCUGUUGCUUUCAGUGACGACUGAUGACUAUCUGCUCUAGGAUUUACUACUCCUAGUACCGACUGACUGGUUGAAUGAAUGAACGAGUCUUGCUUGGUGUGAACUGGAACUAGCAGCUCCGAGGAGGGGGGCUGCCAUGGGCCAUGGCCAUGUUGCUGUUGCUGCUAGUGCCAAACCGAAUCUGGUUCUUGCGAGGGUCUCCCAGCCGAUUUUUUAACCAGAAAAGAUGGAGGCCGCCUUUGCUUUUCGCACUUUGGUGGCCCUAGGAAUUGUAUCCCCUCCCUAAAACCCUCUCCAAAGGCUUUUUUGUGCUCUCCUCUUGGUGCUCAGUGGCCUGAAAGCAGAUGACACUUUCUCUGCCCCUGCCUAAAUAUAUAUAUGCUCUUGCUAACCACAGUGCAAUGUACCACUGCCUUUUGGGGUGGAAUUUAUUCAGUCAUGUAAAACCUUUUGGGCAUCAUUAUUGCAAUUUGUACCGUUUUGCAAUUAUUCGAAGCAUGUACAUGGGAUUUUGUUGGUCAUCCGAUCAUUUCGUCAAGUGUUGUUCUCUGUGGAGUUGUGCCUCCGGUGCGCUCUUCGGGCUGCUCGGAGCCAUGCUGUCAGAGCUCUUCAUCAACUGGGCCAUCUACACCAACAAGGUGGGUGCAUCUCCUGCCACUGCCCUCUCUUUAAGGACACAGCCAGAGAGACGCUCAAUAAACAGAUCAUCGUCCUCUCCAAGCGGAGGGGUUAGCUCAAGCGAUAGCUAACAUGGAAAGUGCUAUGGAACAAGAGGUACCAGAAGGUGAAGAACCAAAGAGUGAUGUUGCUGUUGUUGCUGACCUUUUCUCACUAAAGAAUGGCCCUCCAGCAGAUUCCCUCACUGGCUGUGUUGUUUUGAUUGGUGCCAUCUUAUGUUACUGGUUACUAGUGCACAAUAUGGACAUGUGCCAUCUUAUGAACAUGGGGUAAUAAUACUAAGCUACUGGUUGUGUUAUAUUGGUUGGUGCAUCUUAUGAACCUAUGGUGUAAUGAUACUGCUGGGCCUAACUUAUUGAAAUCCUGGAGAAUUAUAUUAUUAUUAUCAUCAUUA